rnacentral:lncRNA from 1 species
AACAGCUUCAUGCUCGUGUUCGUCCAGCUCGUCCUGGUCAGGAAGUGUAGUUCAGGCUGUGUGAGCUGCUGAUAGAAAAUUGAACAAAUAAAAUAAAUCAAAGCUCAACCGCAAAUGUUUAAUUGAUUGUAGGCUUCUCUAAAUACCUUUAACUUAACCCGUAAAUGAAAGGAUAAGACAUAUUGUGGCGCGCGGCAGCGCCGGCGUGUGUGUUUGGACGGGGCGAAGAAGGACGCGGAGACAGCGUUCAUAACGAAUGAUUUAUUCGAACACCGGCACAAAGGAAAUGAUGCUCUCGGCCCGAGGACUCCGUUUCUUCCAGGACCUGUGCUUACGGCCAGCCUGCCUAGCGCUCCUAGGUUCUCCCUCAACACACUGGCAGACACAGUCAACCCACCAUUUCCCCCCGAAGUGCCCCCAGCGGUUACAGACGUUAUUUACAGAUUUCCUAUAAUGCAACUAUUUACAUUAAAUCACUAACGCGGGUCGUUACAAUAUUAUGAUAGUGGAACGGACCGGCGGUGUAGACAUUCUCAAUCAUUCUAAUUGAGAAAUUCUAAGAUCCUCUUUUUUCCUCGUUUUCUACUUCCCUGCCCCUCUUCUUCUUCUGUCUCUUCUGUUCUCUUUCUUUGUCCAUCGAUUUUUGUUUACUGAAGUUCACGGAAAACGAUGAGUUACACUUGUGCCCAUGAUAAAGCGACGUACUGGUGGUGUAACCCUUCAAAUAUCUUUCAUAUGAGAAAAAAUGGGGCAAUCCAAAAUCAAGGUCUGGGACAGGUGGGAAUCUUCCAAGGUGCUUACGUCGUCCAGGGCAUGAGACAAGAGUCAGAAUCUGUCAAAUUAGACUGUAGGUCGGGAACAUGGAAUCUCAAGAACCAGGAACAACAAGGGCAAAGGGGCAAGGAAGACCAGAAAGGAGGGACACUGAGGAAUAACCAUAAAGCCCAAAAAUAG